UAAGAAGAAUUUCGUGCUCAAAUACGCC
rnacentral:sRNA from 1 species